GGGUUGUUAGCUCCGCUGGUAGAGCAGCGGACUCUUAAUCCGUUGGUCGCGGGUUCGAACCCCUCACGACCCACCA
rnacentral:tRNA from 1 species